rnacentral:lncRNA from 1 species
GCGGGCACGCUUCCAUCUGAGCCGCAGUAGGAUUUUAGCAAGUGGUUCUGGGCUUCUGGAAACACCCUGUGUUUGUAGGGCGUGGAGAUGCUCUGGCAUACAUUGGCGUGUGUGCGGGCGGGGGCCCCCGGGUGGGUCUCACGGGGCCGUUGACACGACCCCCGGGGCCUGCUGGCACCUGCCGUGGCUCGUCCCGGCUCCUCGUCCGCUCCGUCCUACAGGACAUGCCUCUGCGCCCCGGGUGCCCGCCGUGACAUGGCCCUGCUGUCGGCAGGAGCGCAGGGGCAGACGGGCUUCUAGCCCCGGCCUGGGCCUGGCGAUGGGAGGGGUUAGGAGCUCUUCUUGGAGGACUCGGCAGAGCUUGAGGGCAGAGGGGAUUUGGAGAGGCCCCUGGAGGGUGCGCGGCCUUGAGGGAAGGGCCACGUGAUCUGAGGUGAGGGGCCUGGGUUCUAGUCCACGUUCUGAAGUUGGCUCCCUGUGUGACGUUGGGUAAGGCCCUGCUCUCUCUGGGCCUCAGUUUUCCCAUCUGUGCAGUGGGAGUUUUGAUCUGGAUGUCUUUUGUACCCCUGUCCCUGAUUCUGAGAAAGCCUGGGGCAGGGGCUGCCCUGGGGGUGGAGGUGGGCUGGGAGCACAGGGAGGGGGAGCUGGAGGGGGGUGGGAGGCAGAUGUAGGGGCUGCCGUCCCUGUGGCUGGCACGUUCACUACGCACCCAGCUCACCUGGCACCUGAGCCUCGGUUUAUUUCUUCCCGAGUGGGGUCAUCCUUCACGUUAGCUUUGCUGCCCGAGGGCGUGGCUGGCUCUGGCCUGAGCCUCCUGUAGGUCAGGUGCCUUGGUUUCCUCCAGGCAGGGCUCCCCUCACCCCUACCACGCUCCCGUACCUGAGUGCCCUUACCCAGGUGGCAUGGGGCAGUCCCGCCCUCCAGUCUGCUCCAGCCCCCCCGCUGGACUGCGGGUCCAGGCUGCUCGAAGGGCUGCUGGGGCAGUCAGGGCUGGCUUCUUGCAGGAGGUAGCAGUACCGGUUCUAGACCUUUAAAAAUAGCUGAGUGGGAAUUGGACAGGUAGGAAGAGGAGCAGGUGCUGUCACAUGGGGUUGGG